rnacentral:lncRNA from 1 species
UUUUUCCUCCCCAAAUCUGUGGAGAUGUGAAAAGCUUUAUUUAUUUAUUUAUUAUUUUUUAAUCAGAAGAAAGAACAAAGACAAGAUGCCAUCAGGGGAGCUUGUUGAUUUUUUCUUCUUGAGAUAUCUGGUUUCACAGUUGUUGAAUGGUGCCAUCUUCAAAGGGGAAUAUUGUGAAUCGGAAAUGCCUGCUUCACACUGUUACUUUUUUUUGGUUUUUAAGAUGCCUGUGAAAAGUUACAGAGACCUCACAUUCCACAGGAGGGAGCCUCUCUCCCACUGAGCUCAGAGCAGAAAGACUGCAAUAGAGGAUCUUCUCUUUUGAAAUUGUUAUGAAAGACCUGCCCUGAACUGAAAGCUGAAGACUGCUGAAGUAACUUACAUAAAACAAACAAAUAAAACAAACGAUACAAAAAAAAAU